rnacentral:pre_miRNA from 1 species
CACUGGGGGGGAGGGUCCCUCAGCCUGGAUUGCGAGAGGGUGCGGGCCAGGUGGAGGGACCCCACUGGUGAAUG